UACGUAGGGUGCGAGCGUUAAUCGGAAUUACUGGGCGGAAAGCGUGCGCAGGCGGUUCGUUAAGUCAGCUGUGAAAGCCCCGGGCUCAACCUGGGAAUUGCGGUUGAAACUGUCGAACUAGAAUCUGGCAGAGGGGGGUGGAAUUCCACGUGUAGCAGUGAAAUGCGUAGAGAUGUGGAGGAACACCGAUGGCGAAGGCAGCCCCCUGGGCUGAGAUUGACGCUCAGGCACGAAAGCGUGGGGAGCAAACAGG
rnacentral:rRNA from 1 species